CGGGUGAUGGAAAGCGGCGAAAGGGAGAGUAACACGCGGGUACCUACCCUCAGGACCGGGAUAGCUGCGGGAAACUGCAAUUAAUACCGGAUGAAGUCUCCGGACCAAAGGUGUGAUUCCGCCGGAGGAGGGGCCCACGUCCUAUCAGCUAGUUGGCGAGGUAAUAGCUCACCAAGGCUACGACGGGUACGGGGUGUGAGAGCAUGCCCCCGCUCACUGGGACUGAGACACUGCCCAGACACCUACGGGUGGCUGCAGUCGAGAAUCUUCCGCAAUGGGCGAAAGCCUGACGGAGCGACGCCGCGUGCGGGAUGAAGGCCUUCGGGUUGUAAACCGCUGUCAGUGGGGAGGAAAUGCACGGGGGUUCUCCCUCGUGUUUGACCGAUCCGCAGAGGAAGCACAGGCUAAGUUCGUGCCAGCAGCCGCGGUAACACGAACUGUGCAAACGUUAUUCGGAAUCACUGGGCUUAAAGAGUUCGUAGGCGGCAUGUCAAGUCGGGUGUGAAAUCCCUCGGCUCAACCGAGGAAUUGCGUCCGAAACUGGCGUGCUUGAGUGAGAUAGAGGUGAGCGGAACUGAUGGUGGAGCGGUGAAAUGCGUUGAUAUCAUCAGGAACACCGGUGGCGAAAGCGGCUCACUGGGUCUCAACUGACGCUGAGGAACGAAAGCUAGGGGAGCGAACGGGAUUAGAUACCCCGGUAGUCCUAGCCGUAAACGAUGAGCACUAGGUUGAGGGGACCUCCACAUCCCCCCGGCCGUAGCGAAAGUGUUAA
rnacentral:rRNA from 1 species